UAUUCGGGGAGACGAGGUGGUGCAUGGUUGUCGUCAGCUCGUGUCGUGAGAUGUUGGGUUAAGUCCCGCAACGAGCGCAACCCCUAUUGCUAGUUACCAUCAUUAAUUGGGGACUCUAGCGAGACUGCCAGUGAUAAACUGGAGGAAGGUGGGGAUGACGUCAAAUCAUCAUGCCCCUUAUGACCUGGGCUACAAACGUGAUACAAUGGCUGGAACAAAGGGAUGCGAAGCAGUGAUGUGGAGCGAAACCCAUAAAAACAGUCUCAGUUCGGAUUGAAGUCUGCAACUCGACUUCAUGAAGUCGGAAUCGCUAGUAAUCGCGGAUCAGAACGCCGCGGUGAAUACGUUCUCGGGGUUU
rnacentral:rRNA from 1 species